AGUGAACGCUGGCGGUAGGCCUAACACAUGCAAGUCGAACGGCAGCACAGUAAGAGCUUGCUCUUACGGGUGGCGAGUGGCGGACGGGUGAGGAAUACAUCGGAAUCUACUUUUUCGUGGGGGAUAACGUAGGGAAACUUACGCUAAUACCGCAUACGACCUACGGGUGAAAUCAGGGGAUCUUCGGACCUUGCGCGAUUGAAUGAGCCGAUGUCGGAUUAGUUAGUUGGCGGGGUAAAGGCCCACCAAGGCGGCGAUCCGUAGCUGGUCUGAGAGGAUGAUCAGCCACACUGGAACUGAGACACGGUCCAAACUCCUACGGGAGGCAGCAGUGGGGAAUAUUGGACAAUGGGCGCAAGCCUGAUCCAGCCAUACCGCGUGGGUGAAGAAGGCCUUCGGGUUGUAAAGCCCUUUUGUUGGGAAAGAAAAGCAGCAGGUUAAUACCCCGCUGUUCUGACGGUACCCUAAGAAUAAGCAACGGCUAACUUCGUG
rnacentral:rRNA from 1 species